UAGGGAAUAUUAGAAAUGGACGAAAGUCUGAUCUAGCGACACCGCGUGUGCGAUGAAGGCCUUCGGGUUGUAAAGCACUUUUUGGAAGGAAUAGGAAGGAAGGUACUUCCAGAAUAAGUCUCGGCUAACUACGUGCCAGCGGCCGCGGUAACACGUAGGAGGCAAACGUUAUCCGGAUUUACUGGGCGUAAAGCGCGUGUAGGUGGUUUUGUAAGUAGGGCGUGAAAGCUCCCGGCUCGACUGGGAGAGGCCGUUCUAAACUGCAGAACUAGAGGAUGGUAGAGGGAGGUGGAAUUCCAGGUGUAGCGGUGGAAUGCGCAGAUAUCUGGAGGAACACCAGUGGCGAAAGCGGCCUCCUGGACCAUUCCUGACACUCAGACGCGAAAGCUAGGGUAGCAAACGG
rnacentral:rRNA from 1 species